ACUCCUACGGGAGGCAGCAGUGGGGAAUAUUGGACAAUGGGGGAAACCCUGAUCCAGCCAUGCCGCGUGUGUGAAGAAGGCUUUCGGGUUGUAAAGCACUUUCAGUGAGGAGGAAAAGUUAGUCCUUAAUACGGGCUAGCCUUGACGUUACUCACAGAAGAAGCACCGGCUAACUCCGUGCCAGCAGCCGCGGUAAUA
rnacentral:rRNA from 1 species